rnacentral:rRNA from 1 species
GAUGAACGCUAGCGGCAGGCCUAACACAUGCAAGUCGAGGGGUAGAACACUUCGGUGUUUGAGACCGGCGCACGGGUGCGUAACGCGUAUGCAAUCUACCUUAUACAGGGGAAUAGCCCAGAGAAAUUUGGAUUAAUGCCCCAUAGCAUUACGACUUGGCAUCAAGAUGUAAUUAAAGUUCCAACGGUAUAAGAUGAGCAUGCGUCCCAUUAGUUAGUUGGUAAGGUAACGGCUUACCAAGGCGACGAUCCAUAGCUGGUCUGAGAGGAUGAUCAGCCACACUGGGACUGAGACACGGCCCAGACUCCUACGGGAGGCAGCAGUGGGGAAUUUUGGACAAUGGGGGCAACCCUGAUCCAGCCAUUCCGCGUGAGUGAAGAAGGCCUUCGGGUUGUAAAGCUCUUUCGGCAGGAACGAAACGGCGGCCCCUAAUACGGGUUGCUAAUGACGGUACCUGAAGAAGAAGCACCGGCUAACUACGUGCCAGCCGCCGCGGUAA